CGGUGCCGUAAGCGAUGCAAUCACGAGAACCAUAAAAUACUUCUAAGUGAAUGAUAACAGAAACAAAUUAUGUGGAUAAUAAAAUAUAUAACAAGCGAUUCAGGCCAAGAACGCUCAUUUGCAAAUAUUCCCUAAAAAUGUGGAGCAUGAGAAAUCGACUCAAAAAUCAAAUAUCUUUAGCGAGAAGAAAACCAGAAAUCAGAAGGUUAAUGGAAGAUGUGAGUUUAGCUGUAUGUGUAGAUGGUUUUGUAACUUUCGGAAGGGUGAUGAAGGAAGCUUUUGAUCUUUCUCUAGAAACAUUAGUAAUGUUUCAUUUCAUUUUGAAUACUUGAAUACAUGCUCAUUCUUCUGGUUUUCACGUUAGGAUAUUCUUCAAAUGCAAUAUUUUAGAAAUGUUUCCGACUAUUCAAAAUAAAAAUAAAAUUUACA